ensembl:snRNA U6 U6 spliceosomal RNA
GUGCUUGCUUCAGUAGCACAUAUACUAAAAUUGGAAUGAUACAGAGAAGAUUAGCAUGGCCCCUGUGUAAGGAUGACACGCAAAUGUGUGGUGUUCCAUAUUAAA